rnacentral:rRNA from 1 species
GACGAACGCUGGCGGCGUGCCUAAUACAUGCAAGUCGAGCGCAGGAAAUCAUCCGAACCCUUCGGGGGGGACGUUGAUGGAAUGAGCGGCGGACGGGUGAGUAACACGUAAAGAACCUGCCCUCAGGUCUGGGAUAACCACGAGAAAUCGGGGCUAAUACCGGAUGGGUCAUCGGACCGCAUGGUCCGAGGAUGAAAGGCGCUUCGGCGUCGCCUGGGGAUGGCUUUGCGGUGCAUUAGCUAGUUGGUGGGGUAAUGGCCCACCAAGGCGACGAUGCAUAGCCGACCUGAGAGGGUGAUCGGCCACACUGGGACUGAGACACGGCCCAGACUCCUACGGGAGGCAGCAGUAGGGAAUCUUCCACAAUGGACGAAAGUCUGAUGGAGCAACGCCGCGUGAACGAUGAAGGCCUUCGGGUCGUAAAGUUCUGUUGUAAGGGAAGAACAAGUGCCGCAGGCAAUGGCGGCACCUUGACGGUACCUUGCGAGAAAGCCACGGCUAACUACGUGCCAGCAGCCGCGGUAACAC